UUCAAAAUGGAGGAUUUUAAUGUGGUCUCCAGUUGGAUAGAAGUUGUGUGUACACGUGUAUUAUCCAUACACACAGGGCCACUGUUCUGAGUUCCUCAUGUAUAUUAAUCUGUGUUUUAUCCUCUCAACUCUGACAAGAAGGUACUUUUCUGCAGAUGGAAAAGCUGAAACAUGCAGAAGAUUCACCACCUGCUCCAGGUCACCAUUUUGUAAGUGGCUGAAGCAGGAUGUGACCCCAGGUGGUCUGGCUCCAGAGUCCACGCACUGAGCUAGAUCAAAGAUAGAAAAGAGGGCACAUUCAGCUUACUUGACUUUCCUUUUCAUACUCACUACAUCUCUCAUGAAGACGGUCACCUUUUCUUAUCCUGUCUUUGGACUUGAAACUCAAUGAUUUUGGCCUUUGUAGUCUGGUACUUGAGAAACACAAAGGAUUCUCAACUCUUGGACCUCAGACUGGGAGCUGUGGUAAAAGUUUCCAUUUUUGUGAGGCUUUUGGACAUAUAAAAGCCCCAUGGCUGGUUUCCCUGGGAGUCACGCUACUGCUUUCUCAUUCUCCAGCUUGCAGAUGACCUGCUGUGGACUUUGCCUUGCAGUUAGGUGAGCAGUUGGGUAAAUUCCCAUUUACAUCACACACACGCACAUACAUACAUACGUAUGUAUGUAUGUAUACAUAUAUACACACACAAGAAGACUUACCCCGAAUACGUAUGCGCCCAACAGUGGAGCAACCAGAUUCGUAGCUACUUUGAAGGUUGAGAUGGGAGGAUCACUUGGGUCCGGGAGGUUGAGGCUGCUGUGAACCGUGAUUGCACCACUGCACUUCAUCCUGGGCGACAAAGUGAGACCCUGUCCAGGGGGAAAACAAGCCUCACAGGGGGAGGUUCAUAUGCAUAGGUUGGGGAGUUCCUGCUCUCUGGUGUCCCACAACGCACCCUUCUACCCUACCUAGACUGGCCUGGGGUGAUGCUGCCCUGAGGCUGGUCAUCCCGCACUGUGACUGGCAGGGGACGCUAAAACAGCCUUUUCUGCCCCACAUGGUGCGCAUGCGUGUUCUCACCGCCGACACUGCAUGGAGUGCGCGGCGUCCGGAAUGAGUAGGAAAGCGGCUCCGGUUCCUUCAGGACCGCUUCAGGGGGCACCGCGGCGGUUUGGGGACGACUUGGAGCCCUGUCCUAGGGAGAAAACAGCUCCUGUCUGUGGCCCUGACUGGUUAGGUGGGAGCUGCGUGCAACUCAACUUCUCCGGGGCAUUGUUUUCUACACGGUUACUCUCAAGCUGGAGCAGCGUGGCACAUCACAGGACCAUGUAUAUUGGAAUAUUGGCUACCUACAGCUUUGCAGCGCAAUUUGAUAUCAGGAAUUGUGAGUCCUCCAACUUGUAUCUUGCAGGUGCAGCCGUGUCGUGGGAAAUGAAAAAUGCCCUGAAUUUUGAUGGCUGAAAAGUAUUCCAUUGUGCCUGUGUCCUGGAGAUUCUUCAUCUGUGAAUGGACAGGUUUCUCCAAGUGGUUGCAGAUGACAUGAUUUCCUGAAGUGUUACAGCUGAAGUGUGUUUCCUUGUGUACAUAUACUGUGGUUCCUUUAUCCCUUCAUCUGUGGAUAGACAGGUGCAACUCUGUGGUUCCCCACGGUAUGAUUUCAUUGUGGUUUUCUGUCUGAAGAGUAUCCCAGGGUGUACAUGUGGAGCAGCUUCUUUAUCCCUUCUUCUGUAGAUAAGCAGGUUGCCAGCGUAUCACGUGAACUUGUCGUAUGUCCAGUGCUGAUCGAUUCAGGGGAAGGCACCUGUCCCAGGCCGGUCCAAUAAAUGUCCUUACACAGAUAUUUGGAACGGAGACUGAAAGACAGUUGAACCCGCCUCUCUGAUUGCAAAAUAUAAAAUUUAGGAGCUCCCUGUAACCGUGCUUCAGAUUAUGUGAACUAGAGGAUCGGGGGAAUUGCUGAGAAAAAAGGACAAAUCUCAGAGAAACAGAGAUAAGAGAAGACAGUGGUUGUUGAGUCUCUGACUCCAGUUCUUAAGGCCAGUGAAUUCUGACAGAUAGAACAAUCUUGCUUAUGAAUUUCAAGAGACAGUCCAUAAACCUGUCUUUAGGCUUAAGCUAGUUUGAGUUGGGUUUCUGUCACAUGCAACAAGAGUCCUGACUACUGCAGUUGAGUGAAAUUAAAAGGUAUAGCCUCAAUAGGUGAGCUAGCUCUGGUUUAAAAGACUUCCAGUUUGAAUUACACUCCAUUCCCUCUGGUGCCCUUAGAAAGAGCCCUCUCUAACACAGGCCAGCAGCUGGCAGUCAUGCUUUUGUUUUUUUUCUCUGCAGGAAUUUUACUGCCUUGAUUUGAGACAGAUUAUCAGAGAUGGGCACCGUUAUCCUCUCUUUCAUGCAGGAUUUCUCACAUAUAAGUAUUUGUCUUAUGUUUGGAUGCUACAUUUUGGUUAGAAUUUAAUGAUCAUCUCUCUCAUCAAGAUUACCCACAUGAUCACUCUAACGCUGUUGCAAGCCUAACUGACAAGUACUCCAUAUGUGAAGAUGUCAAGUGCAACCCAAAAUAAGAUGUAAGCACCAAAUGGGACUGAGAGAGAAAUGCUAGAAAUCGUCACCCUUCCUGCCUUUCUUGAUAAUGACCAUGCAUCCUGUGAGGGAAAAAGUGUUAUAGUGAUAGAAAGGUAAGGUUCUGAAAUUUGAAGAGAUUGGAGGCCAGGUGUGGUGGUUCAUGCCUGUAAUCUCAGCAUUUUGGGAGGCCAAGGUGGAUGGAUUGCUUAGACCCAGGAGUUCCAGAUGAGCUGGGCAACAU